GAACGGACAGAAGGAGCGAGAGCAGGGAGGGAGGGGGCAGUGCAGGAGAGAGAGAGAGAGAGAGAGAGAGAGAGAGAGAGAGAGAGAGUGGGUGGCAGUGUGCUUUGUCGUGUCUGAGAAAAAAAAUGAAACCAAGCAGCUCUCAGACACACUUCUAACAUAACAAAUAUCGGACUAAAAAGUUAGGAAUGAUUAAUAAAAACAACACUCAAAAAAAGAAAGAAAA